UAAAUGACUCUCGGCAACGGAUAUCUUGGCUCUCGCAUCGAUGAAGAACGUAGCGAAAUGCGAUACUUGGUGUGAAUUGCAGAAUCCCGUGAACCAUCGAGUUUUUGAACGCAAGUUGCGCCCAAAGCCUUCGGGCCGAGGGCACGUCUGCCUGGGUGUCAUGU
rnacentral:rRNA from 1 species